CAGUCGCCGCGGUAACACAGAGGGUGCAAGCGUUAAUCGGAAUUACUGGGCGUAAAGCGCGCGUAGGUGGUUUGUUAAGUCGGAUGUGAAAUCCCUGAGCUUAACUUAGGAAUUGCAUUCGAUACUGGGAAGCUAGAGUAUGGGAGAGGAUGGUAGAAUUCCAGGUGUAGCGGUGAAAUGCGUAGAGAUCUGGAGGAAUACCGAUGGCGAAGGCAGCCAUCUGGCCUAAUACUGACGCUGAGGUACGAAAGCAUGGGGAGCAAACAGGAUUAGAUACCCCUGUAGUCCCUGUCUCUUAUAA
rnacentral:rRNA from 1 species